UGGGGAAUUUUGCACAAUGGGGGCAACCCUGAUGCAGCGACGCCGCGUGAUUUAGAAGGCCUUCGGGUUGUAAAAAUCUUUUGUAUGGGAAGAAAAUGACAGUACCAUACGAAUAAGGACCGGCUAAUUACGUGCCAGCAGCCGCGGUAAUACGUAAGGUCCGAGCGUUGUUCGGAAUCAUUGGGCGUAAAGGGUACGUAGGCGGAUAAGCAAGUUAGAAGUGAAAUCCUAUAGCUCAACUAUAGUAAGCUUUUAAAACUGCUCAUCUUGAUGUAUGGAAGGGAAAGUGGAAUUCCUAGUGUAGCGGUGAAAUGCGCAGAUAUUAGGAGGAAUACCGGGUGCGAAGGCGACUUUCUAGCCAUAAACUGACGCUGAGGUACGAAAGCGUGGGUAGCAAACAGG
rnacentral:rRNA from 1 species